CCUACGGGAGGCAGCAGUCGAGAAUAUUUCACAAUGGGGGAAACCCUGAUGCUGCGACGCCGCGUGGGGGAAUGAAGGUUUUGGGAUUGUAAACUCCUGUCUUGUGGGAGCAAAAUGACAAGAUAGUACUAAAAGAGGAAGAGACGGCAAACUCUGUGACAGCAGCCGAGGUAAUAGGGAGGUGUAAAGUGUUGUUCGGCAUCGCUGGGCGUAAAGCGUGCGUGGGCUGCUUGGUAAGUCGUGUGUGAAAUGCGCGGGCUCAACCCGCGGACUGCACAUGAUACUGUGUGGCUAGUGUAAUGGAGAGGUAAGCGGAAUUCCCGGUGUAGCAGUGAAAUGCGUAGAUAUCGGGAGGAACACUCGUGGCGAAGGCGGCUUCCUGGACAUUAACUGACGCUGAGGCACGAAAGCGAGGGGAGCGAAAAGGAUUAGAUACCCGAGUAGUC
rnacentral:rRNA from 1 species